rnacentral:rRNA from 1 species
CAGGUGCUGCAUGGCUGUCGUCAGCUCGUGUCGUGAGAUGUGGGUUAAGUCCCGCAACGAGCGCAACCCUUGCCUUUAGUUGCCAGCAGUUCGGCUGGGCACUCUAAAGGGACUGCCGGUGUUAAACCGGAGGAAGGUGGGGAUGACGUCAAGUCCUCAUGGCCUUUAUGACCAGGGCUACACACGUACUACAAUGGCCGAUACAAAGGGCAGCGACACUGCGAGGUGAAGCCAAUCCCGUAAAAUCGGUCUCAGUCCGGAUUGGAGUCUGCAACUCGACUCCAUGAAGUUGGAAUCGCUAGUAAUCGUGGAUCAGCAUGCCACGGUGAAUACGUUCCCGGGCCUU